CAAUCAACGUUGAUUGGAGAGUGGCAACAUGCCCACAUGCACACAACACAGCUGAUAGGACACACCAUCCGGUUCUGUGCAGGACAAGUUGUAACUCUUUCAGACCUGUAACCAAUGUUUCCCUUCAUAAGUUCAUAUUUAACUUGCAAGUAUCCAGAAGCAUGAUUUGACAUAUCUCACACAUGGGUUGAGAGCUGAGUAGACAGCCCUGACUUGAACAAGACCUUUAAACUCUCAUUUUAGAUCCCUUGUCUGUGGACUUGUUGGCAUGCCGGCCGCAUGGCUUAGUUUUGGGAUUAUGUCAACGCCUUCAGCAGAUGCUAUUGCAUUACAUAAAGAGAUAUGCCAUGCUGGAGAGAUUCCACUCACUCCUAAUGUGUGCAUUCUGGCCACGGGCAACAACUUCACAUCCUGUCCUAUCACUGACAUGGCAACCAUGGAUUCUGGGAGCAUUCCCAAAGCUGCGUGGCAUCACUUGUCAAAGGUCUGAUAUCCCAGCGGAGGCACAGCAGGUUGUGUGACGGCAGAGAGGAACAGGAUGGAGCGGCUAUUUUUACCUGAAGCCCAGGAGUGAGCUCAACACAGAAGGUCUAUCUGCACAAAUGUGCGUGCAUGGUGAGGAUGCAGUCAAUCAGCAAACCAACGAGGGAGAACUGACGCAAGUGCAUGAGAAAAGGUGGAGAAGUGAUUUCUGCGACACAGAUCUGAGAUGAGCAGGCCCCAGCAAGUGUGAAGAAGGAAACAUGGAGGACCACAUGUAUUCAAAAUCCAAAUUUUAGGGACAGGAGUCUUAUCCUUCACCCAGAAAAAGAAAAAGGAUAUUGAAAAGCAAGAGCAAAAGACCGGCUAUUUGAAGUGUCAAGGCUACUGUAGCUGUAAUGUGUACUUUGAACUGUGUGGUUCGAGAAAGUUGAUUGCGAUAUAUGAUCUCAACGCUAGAUGGGAGAAAUUCCUACAUAUUGGACUUUUUUAAUGUUUGGAUAAAAUAAUCAUUGAAUCUAAAAUGUAAAGCUCUGUGUGGUUAAUUGCCAAGGAAUAAGUCUUUUUGCCAGAUUGCACCAGAAAGUGGCACAGCAGAUUUCAUUCAUGCGUCAUGCUGUGACGGAAUUACUACUUUUGUCUCUUGCAGUGGCUACUGUUGGUUGUGGUUGGAUUUGUUAGUGA